rnacentral:misc_RNA from 1 species
GAUGAAGAUCGCAGUGAAAUGCGAUACGUAGUGUGAAUUGCAGAAUUCAGUGAAUCAUCGAAUCUUUGAACGCACAUUGCACCUCUCGGUAUUCCGGGAGGUAUGCCUGUUCGAGCGUCAUUUGUACCCUCAAGCUCUGCUUGGUGUUGGGUGUUUGUUCCGCCUCUGUGUGUGAACUCGCCUCAAAACAAUUGGCAGCCGGCGUACUUGUUUCGGAGCGCAGCACAUUUUGCGAUCCAGAUCAACGUACAGCGGCAUCCAAGAAGCCUUAUUUAACGCUCUUGACCUCGGAUCAGGUAGGGAUACCCGCUGAACUUAAGCAUAUCAAUAAGCGGAGGA